rnacentral:rRNA from 1 species
UUUAAGCAAUCUAUCUAAAACGUUCUUAAACUAUCAAUCAAAAUAUUAUCCGUACUUAUUCUUUUUUUCAUUAUUAUGCUUAAGAUAAGAGGUAUGUGAUUUUGUUUUAUAGAUAGGAUACUUUUUUACUUCCUGAAGUAAAUCAUUUUAUUAGGGAAAGGAAAGGAAAUCAACCGAGACUCCGAAAGUAAUGGCGAGUGAAAUCGGAUAAGCCUUAAUAACUUAAAAUAAAAAUUAAUCUUUUCGCUUUUAUUUUUAUUUUACCUUAUCCUUAUUUUUUUAUAUUUAUAUUUAUAUUUAUAUUAACAAAAUGGGGAGGUUUUUUUAUUUUAAAAGGAAACAAACCAGAGAAGGAAUAUUUUUUUUUAUGUCCUGUGGUUUUUAUUUUUAAGUUAUACACAAAGUACGAUGAGAGAAAACUUGUCGGAAUAAAGGGGAACCAUCCUCUAAGGCUAAGUAUUAUAAAUUUAGCGAUAGCGAAAAGUACUGUAAAGGAAUAGUAAUAGAAGUGGUGGACUUCUAGUUAGAAUUAGUAGCUCUAUAAGCAGUCGGAAUUUUUGGAAAAAGAAUGACGGCGUACCUUUUGCAUAAUGGGUCAGCAAGUUAAUGGAAGUAGCAAGGUUAAAAGCCUUAGCGAAAGCGACUGGACUAUUUACAUUGAAUAGAUUAAAUUUACAUUGAAUAUAAUAAUCUAUAUUAAACGUAAAAUGUUAAAUUUUUAUAUGCUGUAUAGUUUUGUAUAGUUAUCUGGCUUAGGUCUUUUAUUUUUCUGAUUUUUUUUUUAUUAGGGCUUUUUUAAGCGUUUUACGUUUACCUCCCACGUGACAUCUCGGAACGGGGAGCCUUCAAAUAUCAGUUUAAAGAUAUACUUUAUAUAGAAAUUUCUAAUAUGUUAUUUUUAUAUAUAACUUUUUGUUUCAGCGUGUUACUAUUUUUUAAUUAUAGUGUUGGGCAAGUUACUUCUAUUAGACCCGAAGCCAGGUGAUCUUUCCAUGGCCAGAUUUAUAACGGAUCGUACGGGUGAAUGUUGCAAAAUUCUCCGAUGAGCUGUGGAAAGUUGUGAAAUGCAAACCUAACCUGGUGAUAGCUGGUUUUCUACGAAACAUAUUUAAGUAUGACGUCUACACAAAAUUUAUGAUGGUACAGUACGGCAGUUUCAAAAAUAGUAAUAAUUUAAUUAUUAUGACUUUAAGUAUGAGGGGGCCUAGAAAUCUUACCGUUGGAAGUGAAACUCGAAAUAACAUAAAUUGAUGGUGGAUUUUCAGACAGCUCAUGCGAAGUUGGGUUGUCAAGACGAAAACAGUCGAGAGCACGAAUUUAAGGUCCCGAAUGAUUAUUAAGUGAAAUUAAGGAUGUAGCACAUUGAAUGCAGCUGUAAAGUGAGCCUGGUAGUCGCUACUUUUAAUGAACGUAUAGUAACAACGCAUCAGCCCAAACCUUAAGAUUAUUUGGAAACACCUUCUAAGUAAUAAAGGCAAGAUUGUGGCACCGAAAAUUUAACGGGUCUAAGUAAUCAACCGAUAUCGUGCUGCUUUAUUUAAAAAUUUAAUAAGCGAUAAUUAUACUUAACUAAAAAUAAAUCAAUCUAUUUCUAAUUAAGAAUAAAAACUAUUAAUUUAUUGUAAUAAAGUUAGGUAGUAGAACAUUCAGAACGAUUGAAAAACAGUGUUUCAUUGUUUUGACGUAACUGAAGAGAGAAUGCUGACAUGAGUAACGAAAAAAGAAGUUAUAAUACUUCUCGCCGAAUGCGAAAGGGUUUCAGGGCUAGAUUAAAUCACCACUGAGUAAAUGCGGCCUCUAAGAAUUAAAACCAAAGUUUUGUUCGAUGAGUAAUAAACAGAAAGUCCUUAUAGAAAACUAAAAAAAAUAAUAAAUAAAAAUUAUUUUAAGAGUUAGGGCCUAGAAAAAAAUGUUUAAAAGUACUACCGUACCCUAAACCGACACUGGUUCGCUGGUUGAGAAUACUAAGGCGUAGAGCGAAGACUUGUUAAGGAACUCGGCAAGAACCCUUCAUAAGUUUGGCGAAAAGAAGGACCACUUUUACUUAACUUAGCUAUAAGUUAAUAUUUCAGGUGGUGGCACAAAAUCGGAGGCCCCGACUGUUUACUUAAAACAUAAGAAUCUGCAAUGAUUAAUAUCGUGGUAUAGGUUCUGAAAUUUGCCCAAUGCCAUUAAUAUAAGUGCGGUAAUGAGAGUUACUAAUCGAAUGUCUGGUUAAUAGCGGUCUUAACUAUGAGGAUCCAAAGGUAGCAAAAUCAGUUGGCCAUUAAAUGUGGUCUUGUAUCAAUAAUGUAACGAUGGCCUCACUGUCUCUACAAGUCGCUCAGUGAAAUUGAAUUGUGAGUGCAGAUGCUCACUACCUCCGGGGGGACGGGAAGACCCUAUGCAGCUUUACUGUAGUUAGUUAUCACGUUAAUCUACAACAGGGCUGAUUAAUAGUGAUUAGGGAUGUCGAUAGACGAAAGAUGGAAUACCUUCUGAUCAGGACUGGGUUAAUGUUUACCUUUAUCUCGUAAGGAGUUGAGGGAGAAUUGACUAAUUGACAGUUUGACUGGGGCGGUCGUCUUUAAUAGAGUAGCAAAGUACAUCCGAUUAUAUUUAUUCUUUUUUUUUUUAAAAUUUUUGACCAAAUUAACACUUCUUAUCACUUUUAACCUUAAGUCUAACUAUCACCAUAAGCCUAAAUGGCUCUCAAAUUAAUGUAUCGCCAGGCUAAAAUGUUUUUAUUUUCCCCAGGCGGCCCCAGGCGGAGGGUUUUUAUCCAAAGCAUUAUAAUUAUAAUAGAUAUAUAGUUUACUAAUAGCUAAAGGUAAUUUAGACAGUGCAACAAUAGUAGCGCUCCCACCAUAGAGAUGGGGUAAGGAUUAAAUUUCUUACCGAUUAUUGUGUGAAAAAAUAAUUAUAUGAUAAUUAUCCAAAAAAUACGAACUAAAUUUAAUAAAUAAAACUUUUCCUUUUUUUAUAGAAAAUUCUUUUUAUAAAAAGAUACAUUCAUAAAAAUGGAAUAAGAAAAUAAUAUUAAUUUUACUGAACUUACUUUUCAUUUCUCUUUUGUUUGUUUGUUUAUUAUUUAUUUAAAAAGGUAGAGCUAGAAAUUGAAUGGGGAUCAAUCUGCCAGUGAAACGGCGGCGGAAAGAGCGUAAUGGCGGAAAGCAUGCCUAACUGAAAGACCUAUAAGUCGCACAGAUACGUAAGUAGGGCAUAGUGACCCCUCGAUAUAAGAUGGGAUAGACGGGGAUCAACAGAUAAAAGCUACGCUAGGGAUAACAGGCUGAUAGUCCGCGAGAGUACACAUUGUCCGGACUGAUUGGCACCUCGAUGUCGACUCAACCUAUCCUCCGGGAGUAGGAGCUUGGAAGGGUUGGGCUGUUCGCCCAUUAAAAGGUUACGUGAGUUGGGUUUAAUACGACGUGAGUCAGUAUGGUCCCUAUCUUCCGGAGGGACAAAUAGUAAAAAGAGGGAGACCUUCUAGUACGAAAGGAUCAAUAGGCUGUGUUUCAAUCGUGUACCAAUUGUUUGAUAUUUACGUGAUAUUGGCAUAGUUGGGUAGCCACAAACAUAACGGAUAAGAGCUGAAUGUAUAUUAAGCAGGAAACCGUCCUCUAGCUACUAUCAAUCAUUAUUUAAAUUAAAACUUGGUUUGACUAAUUUUUAAUAUUAUAUUUUGAUAAGAUAAGAAAUAGAACAUUUCUAAAUAGGGUGCAAGUAUAUUUGCUUUGA